CGGCUCCUUCAAAUCCCUGUCUCCUGAGGAUGAUGUGACGGAGCGUAUUAGUUUAUGGAGUUUGGUGUGUGCUUCCCAUGUGCUUGUUAGCCAUGAUGCAGCUGCAUGUGUUGGUUUUAGCGAUUGCUUUGGCUUCAGGCUGUGGGGAUCAGCCUCUUCUCACAGCCACGUUCACCACGGAUCUCAGGCUGUUUCAGGGUGUGUUAGAGCUGGGUGACGCUGGGUCAUGGCAGUGGAUCCAGGCUGCUGUAGGUCUCAAUGUGACCUGGAGGAGCCCUGCACCCUGCUGGCAAUGGGGCUGGCACAUGGGUCCCCUUUUCAGGAGGGGUUCGAGGCACCAUCCCAGGGAAGGAGCCCAGCCGAGGACCAGCAGGAGUCACAGCAGAGCUGCAGCGCCCUUGCUUUCCCUUGUCCUUCAGCUCAGGUAUACAAUUCGUGUUUAUUUUUCUUUAGCUGCCGGAGAAAACAAACAGCUGAGUCCAGAAAAGACAGGAUUUUCUAAUCUCCCAUAAAAAGGCUAUGGAAAUUUGAAAGGAAAGGAAGAUGAUAGUAUCGCCUGCACUGAGACGGUAAUUAUGGGUCCUGGGAGGAAGUGUAUAAAGCCUUAUUGAGUGAAGAUAGCUGAGAAGGCUGUGGGGGCCUGCAUGGUGCGAGGAAAAGGCUGGAGGAAACCCUUAUCAGACCUGUUAUCCUGCCUCUGUCAUUCCCAUACAGAUUAAUGAGCUCCAGGAUGCCCUCAGCCGUGUUCAGGCCGGGGUCUGUUUAUCCCAAAAUAGAAGGUGCUGCCUUGUGCCAGAGUGUCAUAUUCCCAGGCCAGCAGCCCCAUUGUGUUUUAUUACACCAUUGUAUUCAGGGGUUACAUCCGAACUUUUCCUCUUAGCUCCUUAAUCACUGUUUUGAUGGAUGAGCUCCAUGAGAAAUGCCGCCGCGGCCGUAUCUGCCACCCAUUCCGCAUGGAUCAAAAUGGCUCCUCUGCUUCUGGCUGCUCUUGCUCCAGCUCUGGGCAACACAAGGAGGGGAUGGAUUCCUUUCUGUGCAGGGACACGAGAGCCCACCCCAAACCAUGCAGGCAGCUGUAAGCCCCAUGAACUCACAGCCAUUAACGCUGCGGGGCGUGCAGUUCCCUCCAGGGCUCCCGCGUCUGCUGCCAUUUCCCUGGUGCAAUCCUGGGGAAUUAUCCAUAUCUCUGACAAGAGAAUAGGUUACUAAUGCACCAACACAGCUGUUUUGACACUUUUGAUGAAUAACAUUCAAUACUAUUAAUUGGAACAAUUGCUUUUCAUUUAACUAAAUCACUAGAAUUGCUAAACUAAAUUGAAACGGAAUGUAAUUUUGCCUCGCUCUCCUUUAAUAUGGGCCUCUAAAUGUCUUCUCCCUGAAGAAUUAGUAACUUAAUCACCUAACAGUGAUAACUGUUUCAUAGCCCUCAGCUGGAAGGCUUUCCUGCUAAGCAGUAUUGCAUGGGAGUAGAGUGUUAUAACAGGGAACGAAUCCCAUCUCUUUCCUUUCUCCUUUUUCUGCUGCAAUAUUAAUCAUAUUAAAAAUGAUUCUCUUCCUCUUUUUCUGUUCCAGCAAGAUCUUUAUAGAUCAUCGUAAUCCCUCCCCCCCCCCUUUCUGCGUUGUAUCAAUCACUCGACACGGCUAACAGGGUGCACAACAAUUAUAGCUGUCCAUUACGUUGGAGAUGGAUGUUUGCUGUCAGUGACUGUGAGAAGGGCUCUUGUUCAUUUUCCAAUGAACUCGUCAUGCAGUGCGCGCAAUGCAAACAGCGCAGCGUGCUGACUGCGCCCACUGAGACGUGCUGCGUGGGUGCCAUGGCAGGGCAGACGUUCACCUGCAUUUCUUCUAGUUUUUUUGAGCUUUUUUUUUGUUAGUUACUUAGAAAGGAUCGUGGCGUAAAUAAGUAUAAAUGCUCUGAAAUAUAUUUACGUUACUAAUAGGAAGCCACUGACCACUGUUAGUAGUCCCGCUGCUCAACUGUGUCUCUAAAAUUCUGUCAAGGUAGACUUUAUAGCUUAAAUAUUCUGCUCGUCUGUCUUAGGCCGUAAUCAUCGAAUCAUUUGAGAUGGAAGGGACGUCGAAAGGCCAUGUGGUCCAACCCUCUGCAGUGAACAGGGACACCACAGCUCCAUCGGGCGCUCAGAGCCCCAUCCCCUGACCGUGGGUAUCUCCAGGGAGGGGGAAUCCACCAGAAUAUUAUUGAUAAUCAUUUUAGUUGUUUUACUUAUGCUGUGCUACACAAAACUGGUGCUGUGAGGAAGUUUCUCAGUGUUAUUUAAUAAUAAUAUGUUUUCGUGCAACCUUAAAUUUUCAUGUCUCUGUAAUUUAUCCAUAGAUUCUGUCACCAUGGGAUAAACGAAAGUGGGAUUGAGAGGGGAAGCCUUCUGCUAUAGCAAGUGGCACUUGCAUGGUUUUUAUUUUAUGGGAUUAAUGGGUUGAACCUCUUAUCCACACUGGUCCAUGGUACAUUUGGGAAAAUGUCCAAAAAUGAAGUGCUUUGUCUGAGUUAUACAGAUGAUUAUUGGCAAAAUUCAGUUUUGCCAGUGAAUUGUUUUGUGCUCUUUCCUCUAAAUUUGCAUUUGGUCUCUCGCUGUCAGUGACUGUUUUGCAGACCAAUUUCUUGAAUUCAGAAUGGCAGGGAAAAAAAUGCAAAGCAAAGCUAUAUUAAUGCUUAAAUUUUGUUCCUAAGAUCUAGUUAAUAAUAAUGUCACUCCCUUGGGAUAGUUUGUAGCGGGAUUCGAAGUGCUAAGAAACAGCCCGGAGCCUGCAGGUCUCUGCUGAUGCACGAGGCAGGAAGAUGCCCAACUGAGCCAUCAGGAAACCUGAAGCAAACGAAAUAAAAGUCAAAUGGAUGUAAUUUGGGAUAUGCUA
rnacentral:lncRNA from 1 species